AUACGUAGGUGACAAGCGUUAUCCGGAUUUACUGGGCGUAAAGGGCGUGUAGGCGGUCUUGCAAGUCAGAAGUGAAAUUCCUGAGCUCAACUCGGGCGCUGCUUCUGAAACUGCAGGACUUGAGUGCUGGAGGGGAUAGCGGAAUUCCUAGUGGAGCGGUAAAAUGCGCAGAUAUUAGGAAGAACACCGGUGGCGAAGGCGGCUAUCUUGACAGUAACUGGCGCUGAGGCGCGAAAGCUUGGGGAGCAAACAGGAUUAGAUGCCCUGUUAGUCCACGCCGUAAACGAUGAAUACUAGGUGUAGUGGGUAUCGACUCCCUCUGUGCCGCAGUUAACACAAUAAGUAUUCCGCCUGGGGAGUACGGCCGCAAGGUUGAAACUCAAAGGAAUUGACGGGG
rnacentral:rRNA from 1 species